rnacentral:rRNA from 1 species
GUAGGGAAUAUUGCGCAAUGGACGAAAGUCUGACGCAGCGACGCCGCGUGAGUGAUGAAGGCCUUAGGGUCGUAAAGCUCUGUUGAAUGGGAAGAAAAAAAUGACGGUACCAUUCGAGGAAGGACCGGCUAACUUCGUGCCAGCAGCCGCGGUAAUACGAGGGGUCCUAGCGUUGUUCGGAAUCAUUGGGCGUAAAGGGUGUGUAGGUGGCAAUGUAAGUCAGGUGUGAAAGCCUCGGGCUCAACCCGGGAAGUGCACUUGAUACUGCGUGGCUUGAGUACCGAAGAGGGUAGUGGAAUUCCAGGUGUAGUGGUGAAAUACGUAGAUAUCUGGAGGAACACCGGUGGCGAAGGCGGCUACCUGGUCGAGUACUGACACUGAGACACGAAAGCAUGGGGAUCAAACAGGAUUAGAUACCCGUGUAGUCC